GCCACCAGCCAUAUCACUCUGCACCUUACAACUGGCAACCUGCUGCUGCUAAGCAGGUAUGAGCCUGGUCAGUACCUGCAUGGGAUACCUCCUGGGAAAAACUAAGGUUGCUGCUGGAA
rnacentral:rRNA from 1 species